rnacentral:rRNA from 1 species
GAUGAACGCUGGCGGCGUGCCUAAUACAUGCAAGUCGAGCGAACAGACGAGGAGCUUGCUCCUCUGACGUUAGCGGCGGACGGGUGAGUAACACGUGGAUAACCUACCUAUAAGACUGGGAUAACUUCGGGAAACCGGAGCUAAUACCGGAUAAUAUAUUGAACCGCAUGGUUCAAUAGUGAAAGACGGUUUUGCUGUCACUUAUAGAUGGAUCCGCGCCGCAUUAGCUAGUUGGUAAGGUAACGGCUUACCAAGGCAACGAUGCGUAGCCGACCUGAGAGGGGGGCGGCCCACCGGGAAGGUGCAACCGGCUCCAGCCCCCCGCGGGGGGCACAGGGAGGGAUUCUCCCGCAAGGGGAGAAGGCCGGACGGACAACCGCGGGGGGAGGGAGAAGGGUUUCCGAUUCUAAAACCUUUUUUAUGGGGGAAAAAAAAAUGUGUAAGAACCUAUGCACUUCUGGACGUUCCCUAACAAGAAAGCCAGGGCAACCUCCGGC